AUUGAACGCUGGCGGCAGGCCUAACACAUGCAAGUCGAGCGGAUGAAGGGAGCUUGCUCCUGGAUUCAGCGGCGGACGGGUGAGUAAUGCCUAGGAAUCUGCCUGGUAGUGGGGGAUAACGUCCGGAAACGGGCGCUAAUACCGCAUACGUCCUGAGGGAGAAAGUGGGGGAUCUUCGGACCUCACGCUAUCAGAUGAGCCUAGGUCGGAUUAGCUAGUUGGUGGGGUAAAGGCCUACCAAGGCGACGAUCCGUAACUGGUCUGAGAGGAUGAUCAGUCACACUGGAACUGAGACACGGGCCAGACUCCUACGGGAGGCAGCAGUGGGGAAUAUUGGACAAUGGGCGAAAGCCUGACCAGCCAUGCCGCGUGUGUGAAGAGGGUCUUCGGAUUGUAAAGCACUUUAAGUUGGGAGGAAGGGCAGUAAGUUAAUACCUUGCUGUUUUGACGUUACCAACAGAAUAAGCACCGGCUAACUUCGUG
rnacentral:rRNA from 1 species